UACAGAGGUCUCAAGCGUUAAUCGGAAUUACUGGGCGUAAAGGGUGCGUAGGUGGUAAGAUAAGUUAGCUGUGAAAUACCUGGGCUUAACCUGGGCAGGUCAGCUAAGACUGUGUUACUUAGAGUAUGGGAGAGGGUAGUGGAAUUUCCGGUGUAGCGGUGAAGUGCGUAGAGAUCGGAAGGAACACCAGUGGCGAAGGCGGCUACCUGGCCUAAUACUGACACUGAGGCACGAAAGCGUGGGGAGCAAACAGG
rnacentral:rRNA from 1 species